UACGUAGGGACCAAGCGUUGUUCGGAUUUACUGGGCGUAAAGGGCGCGUAGGCGGCUUGACAAGUCACUUGUGAAAUCUCCGGGCUUAACUCGGAACGGCCAAGUGAAACUGUCAUGCUAGAGUGCAGAAGGGGCAAUCGGAAUUCUUGGUGUAGCGGUGAAAUGCGUAGAUAUCAAGAGGAACACCUGAGGUGAAGACGGGUUGCUGGGCUGACACUGACGCUGAGGCGUGAAAGCCAGGGGAGCAAACGGG
rnacentral:rRNA from 1 species